AUCUUGGACAAUGGGGGCAACCCUGAUCCAGCCACGCCGCGUGGGUGAUGGAGGCUUCGGGUCGUAAAGCCCUGACAGAAGGGGAGAAAGGGAUUUUGGCUAAUAUCCACGGUCCUUGACGGUACCUUCAGAGGAAGCGCCGGCUAACUACGUGCCAGCAGCCGCGGUAAGACGUAGGGCGCAAGCGUUGCUCGGAAUUACUGGGCGUAAAGGGCGCGUAGGCGGCUGGGCAAGCGGGAUGUGAAAACCCUUGGCUUAACCAAGGAAGUGCAUUCUGAACUGCCCGGCUUGAGUUCGGAAGAGGGCGGUGGAAUUCCCGGUGGAACGGUGAAAUGUGUAGAUAUCGGGAGGAACAUCUGUGGCGAAGGCGGCCGCCUGGUCCGAUACUGACGCUGAAGCGCGAAAGCGUGGGGAGCAAACAGGAUUAGAUACCCUGGUAGUCCACGCCCUAAACGGUGAGCACUAGGUGUUGGGAGUAUUGACCCUCUCGGUGCCUGAGUAACGCGUUAAGUCUCCGCCUGGGGACUACGGCCGCAAGGCUAAAACUCAAAUGAAUUGACGG
rnacentral:rRNA from 1 species